rnacentral:lncRNA from 1 species
GUACGCGGUCCUGACUUGUGGCUAGGGGUUCCUCGGAACGCGUUCCUCAGGCUGCAGCGGGAGAGGGACGGUGCCUGCGGUUCCGUUUCUCCUUAGGAGCUGUACCCCACCCGCCCUACGUCCGCUUCCGGAGGCCAUGAGCAGCUGGGUGCUCGCGGGGGGCGUUUUCAUCGAUUAGUGGCGGCGCUGUCAACUCACCUGCCAAUUGACCUUGACCGACGCCGGCCCUGUCCUCUUGGAAGGAGAAAUGAAGAGUGAAGGCUUUGACUUCCUCAGCUUUUUUUUUUUUUUUUUUUUUUUAGAUGGAGUCUCUUUUUUUUUUCCGAGAUUGAGACGGGGGUCUGUGGCCCAGGCUGUAGUGCAGUGGUUCGAUCUCGACUCACUGCAGCCUCCAACCCCGGGAUUCAAGCGAUUCUCCAACCUCAGCCUAUGGGGCAGCUGGGACCACAGGCGCGCGCUACCACGCUCGGCUUGAAGAGAUGAGGACUCUAUGUUGCUCAGGCUGGUCUUGAACUCCUGGGCUCAAGUGAUCCUCCGCCUCGGCCUCUCAAAGUUCUGGGAUUACAGGCGUGAGCCACCGUGCCCGGCCUUACUCAGAUUUUUCUUAAUCCCAUAAAGUAACAAUGAGUUGUGUCCUUUAACCCAUGUGGAAGGAUUUUCUACAGAAACGGAUUUACAAUGAGACAUAACGAUGUGGCCGGGCGCGGUGGCUCAUGCCUGUAAUCCCAGCACUUUGGGAGGCCCAGGAGGGCGGAUCACCUGAGAUCGGGAGUUCGAAACCAGCCUGACCAACAUGGAGAAACCCCGUCUCUACUAAAAAAUACAAAAGUAGCCGGGUGUGGUGGCGAAUGCCUGUAAUCCAAGCUACUUGGGAGGCUGAGGCAGGAGAAUCGCUUGAACCCGGGAGGCGGAGGUUGCGGUGAGCCGAGAUCGCACCGUUGCACUCCAGCCUGGGCAACAAGAGCAAAACUGUCUCAAAAAAAAAGAAAAAAGAAACGUAACAGAGUGUUAAUAAAAUGUUAUGCCGUCAUUUUAAUGCAUUACAAAAACUUCAGAAUAUUUUUGGGUCUACCUCUCUGGAAGGGAGUUAUGCCUUAUUCUUAAUUUUUAAAAUUUCCUUGUAAAAUGCUGUUUUAUGGCUUUAAUGAUAGUAAACGACAAAAGAUAAACUUUUUUAGUAUGCUCUUGACAAAAGUUCCGAAAGUUUUCUGAAAUUUUACUAGUUUGAGAUCCCCAAUUUAGGAAACCGAUUUAGUGGAGAGAGCUUUGCCUAUUUUUGGCCCUUUGGGUCGGAGAAUGUGAUAUAAAGCCGAAGAUUUACUCUGCCAGACAGUCUUAAGAGGUCACUAACGUUUAGCUAUUGACAUUCAGCAAAAAUUGUGGAUUACCUAUUAAAUGCUAGACCAGGGGACAACUGUUAUUAAGUCAGUGUUUCAGCAUUACUGAAAGAAAAGUGGCCUAUAAAGGUAAGGGAGAGGAAGAGUUUCUCAGAUACCAGCCUUCGAUGAUUAACAAAGUCCAGCCUCAAUCAUUCUGGAAUCCAGAAUAUUGAUGGCUGGAAGGCUGGUUGUACAAGUUUAUUGUUCUUUGGUGUUUGGUUUUUUCUUCCGUGGACCACAGAAUGCUUAACAAAAGUUGAUCAGUAAAAAGCGGGGGAGGGGCUAGGCGUCGUGGUUCAUGACUGUAAUUCCAGCACUUUGGGAGGUGGGGGAGGGCAGAUCACCUGAGGUCAGGAGUUCGAGACCAGCCUGGCCAACAUGGUGAAACCCCGUCUCUACUAAAAAUACAAAAAUUAGCCAGGUGUGGUGGCACACACCUGUAAUCCCAGCCUCUCAGGAGGCUGAAGCAUGAGAAUCGCUUGAACCUGGGAGGCAGAUGUUGCAGUGAGCCAAGAUCACGCCACUGCACUCCAGCCUGAGCCACAGAGGGAGACUGUCUCCAAAGAAAAAAAAUAAAAACCUGGAAAUUUUAUUGAAAAAUGAAACCUUCAAAAUGUGCCUUGACUACUUCUUUAGCUCCUCUUCCUUAGUGCCUUAGGUCUAAAUCAAAUGUUACGCUCGACCAGUCCUGGUGGCAUGCGCCUGUAAUCCCAUCUACUGGGGAGGCUGAGGCAGGAGGAUCAUUUGAGCUCGGGAGUUUGAGGAUACAGUGAGCUGUGAUCAUGCCACUGCACUCAAGCCUACAUGACAGAUGAGACACUGUCUCUAAUUUUUUUUUUUUUUUUGAGAUGGAGUCUGCCUCUGUCGCCCAGGCUGGAGUGCACUGGUGCAAUCUUGGCUCGUUGCAACCUCCACCUCCCGGAUUUCAGUGAUUCUCCUGCCUCAGCCUCCAAGUAGCUGAGAGAUUACAGGUGUGUGCCAUCACAGCUGGCUAAUUUUUGUAGUUUUUUAAGUAGGGACGGGGUUUCACCAUGUUAGCCAGUCUUGGUCUCGAACUGCUGACCUCAAAUGAUCCGCCUGCUCAGCCUCACAAAGUGCUGGGAUUACGAGCAUGAGCCACGGCACCUAGCCUCUAAAAUAAUUUUUUUUAAAAUUGUUUAAAAAACAACUCAGGCCGGGCACGGUGGCUUACGCAUGUAAUCCCAGCACUUUGGAGGGCGCGGUGGGUGGAUCACCUGAGGUCAGGAGUUCGAGACCAGCCUGGCAAAUAUGACGAAACUCCGUCUCUACUGAAAAUACAAAAGUUAGCCAGACGUGAUGGCGUGAGCCUACAGUCCCAGCUACUCGGGAGGCUGAGACAGGAGAAUCGCUUGAACCCAGGAGGCGGAAUUUGUGGUGAGCCGAGAUCGUGCCACUGCACUCCAGGCUGGGCAACAGUGAGACUCCAUCUCAAAAAAAAAAAACAAAAACAAAAAACCACGACUCAGUUGACAGAGGAAAAGAAGAAAAAAAGUUAUGCUUGUUCAACACUGCCCCUCAAAAAUACUUCUGCUUUUCUUGUCUCUUUCUCAUUGAAGUAUCAUAAACUGUGCCUACCAGUCUUCUGAACUGUGAUAACUAGAUGAAAAAAAAAAAGAGGUCUUGGUUCUGAUGCAUGCAGUUUAUCUGAAUAGUAAGUUUCAUAAAUCAGAUGGACAGAUCUUUAAUAUUAGAAGCAAGGAAAGUGAAACAAAGAAACUUAGAGCCAUGGCCGGGCAGGGUGGCUCACGUCCUCCGUAAUCCCAGCACUUUGGGAGGCCAAGGUGGGUGGAUCACUUGAGGUCAGGAAUUCAAGACCAGUAUGGCAAAACCCUGCCUCUACCAAAAAUACAAAAAAUUAGCUGAGCGUGGUGGAGCACACCUGUGGUCCCAGCUACUUGGGAGGCUGCGGCAGGAGAAUCCCUUGAACCCAGGAGGUGAAGGUUGCAGUAAGUCGAGAUCGUGCCACUGCACUCUAGACUGGGUGACAGAGCAAGACUCCACCUCAAAAAAAAAAAAAGAAAAAGAAAAAGAAACUUAGAGCCGAAAGUAAUUUU